UACGGGAGGCAGCAGUGGGGAAUAUUGCACAAUGGGCGCAAGCCUGAUGCAGCCAUGCCGCGUGUAUGAAGAAGGCCUUCGGGUUGUAAAGUACUUUCAGUCGUGAGGAAGGUGUUAAGGUUAAUAACCUUAGCAAUUGACGUUAGCGACAGAAGAAGCACCGGCUAACUCCGUGCCAGCAGCCGCGGUAAUACGGAGGGUGCGAGCGUUAAUCGGAAUUACUGGGCGUAAAGGGCACGCAGGCGGUUAAUUAAGUUGGAUGUGAAUCCCCGGGCUUAACCUGGGAAUGGCAUUCAAGACUGGUUAGCUAGAGUCUUGGUAGAGGGGGUAGAAUUCCAUGUGUAGCGGUGAAAUGCGUAGAGAUGUGGAGGAAUACCGGUGGCGAAGGCGGCCCCUGGGACAAAGACUGACGCUCAUGUGCGAAAGCGUGGGGAGCGAAACAGGAUUAGAUACC
rnacentral:rRNA from 1 species